AGCGAACGCUGGCGGCAGGCCUAACACAUGCAAGUCGAACGAAGUCUUCGGACUUAGUGGCGGACGGGUGAGUAACACAUGGGAACGUACCUUUUGGUUCGGAACAACUCAGGGAAACUUGAGCAAAUACCGGAUGAGCCCUUAGGGGGAAAGAUUUAUCGCCGAAAGAGCGGCCCGCGUUAGAUUAGCUAGUUGGUGAGGUAAAGGCUCACCAAGGCUACGAUCUAUAGCUGGUCUGAGAGGAUAAUCAGCCACACUGGGACUGAGACACGGCCCAGACUCCUACGGGAGGCAGCAGUGUGGAAUCUUGCGCAAUGGGCGAAAGCCUGACGCAGCCAGGCCGCGUGAAUGAUGAAGGUCUUAGGAUUGUAAAAUUCUUUUACCAGGGACGAUAAUGACGGUACCUGGAGAAAAAGCCCCGGCUAACUUCGUGCCAGCCGCCGCCGUAAGAC
rnacentral:rRNA from 1 species